rnacentral:rRNA from 1 species
CAAGGGCUGUCGCUGACUCAAAAGGUCGUGCACGCCCGGGUGUUGUCCCCUCGCAUAACAAUCCAUCUCACCCUCUGUGCAUCACCGCGUGGGUUCCCUUCUCGGAGGGGGCUCGCGUUUUCACACACAAACCCCCCUUUUAAAAGUGUAAAAUGACCUCAUGUAAUGCGUUAACCCGCAAUCAAUACAACUUUCAACAACGGAUCUCUUGGCUCUCGCAUCGAUGAAGAACGCAGCGAAAUGCGAUACGUAAUGUGAAUUGCAGAAUUCAGUGAAUCAUCGAAUCUUUGAACGCACCUUGCGCCCCUUGGUAUUCCGAGGGGCACACCCGUUUGAGUGUCGUGAAAACCUCAACCUCCUUGGUUUCUUCUGGAGACCGAAGCAGGCUUGGACUUUGGAGGCCUUUGCUGGCACCUCUCUUUUUGAAGGCCAGCUCCUCUUAAACAAAUUAGCAGGGUCCUCUUUGCCGAUCCUCGACGUGUGAUAAGAUGUUUCCAUGUCUUGGUUUAUGGCUCUGUCACUUUUGGGA